GAUGAACGCUGGCGGUGUGCCUAAUACAUGCAAGUCGUGCGAGAAGUUUACUUCUAGCGGCGAACGGGUGAGUAACACGUAUCUAACCUGCCCAUCAGUCUGGAAUAACACCGAGAAAUCGAUGCUAAUGCCGGAUAGCUAAUAUUUACUUAUGUUUAUAUUACUAAAGGAGCGUUUGCUCCGCUGGUGAAUGGGGAUGCGCAGCAUUAGGUAGUUGGUAGAGUAAAAGCCUACCAAGCCAACGAUGCUUAGCCGGCCUGAGAGGGUGAUCGGCCACACUGGAACUGAGACACGGUCCAGACUCCUACGGGAGGCAGCAGUAGGGAAUUUUCGACAAUGGGGGAAACCCUGAUCGAGCAACACCGCGUGAGGGAUGAAGGAUUUCGGUCUGUAAACCUCUGUUGUAA
rnacentral:rRNA from 1 species